rnacentral:lncRNA from 1 species
AAUAUUCAUGCAAUUUCAUACUUAAUUUUUAUAUUAUUUUGUUAUUGAGAUCUACGUUGAUUUUUAAUUGCAAAAUAAUUAUUUGUUAGUUUGAAUGAUUUAAGUCCGUAAUUGCUUAGAUUAUUCUUACAUAAGAACACUUGGGAUAAAAACCAAGGAAGUUGCAUGAUCUACCGUUAUCUCCAUACGUUUGGGUAGCUAGGAUUGGAUCUCUCUAUUUCUUAAUGCAAUUGACAAU